rnacentral:rRNA from 1 species
CCUACGGGAGGCAGCAGUGGGGAAUAUUGGACAAUGGGCGCAAGCCUGAUCCAGCAAUACCGCGUGUGCGAAGAAGGCCUUAGGGUUGUAAAGCACUUUCAACGGGGAGGAAAAAAGACAGGCCAAUACCCUGCCUAUUGACAUUACCCGUACAAGAAGCACCGGCUAACUCCGUGCCAGCAGCCGCGGUAAUACGGAGGGUGCAAGCGUUAAUCGGAAUUACUGGGCGUAAAGCGUGCGUAGGCGGCCCGCUAAGCCAGAUGUGAAAGCCCCGGGCUCAACCUGGGAACUGCAUUUGGAACUGGCGGGCUAGAGUUGGGCAGAGGGGGAUGGAAUUCCGGGUGUAGCGGUGAAAUGCGUAGAUAUCCGGAGGAACACCAGUGGCGAAGGCGAUCCCCUGGGCCCAAACUGACGCUGAGGCACGAAAGCGUGGGCAGCAAACAGGAUUAGAUACCCUGGUAGUCCACGCCGUAAACGAUGUCGACUAGCCGUUGGGCCUUUAUUUAGGCUUAGUGGCGCAGCUAACGCAUUAAGUCGACCGCCUGGGGAGUACGGCCGCAAGGUUAAAACUUAAAUGAAAUUGACGG